GUUUUAUAAGAAAAAUAUGGAACACUUCACAAAUUUGCAUGUCACCCUUGUGCAGAGGCCAUGCUAAUAUUCUCUGUAUUAUUCCAAUUUUAGUAUAUGUGCUGCCGAAGCGAGCACUCCAAUAGAUUUUU